UAGAAGGCUGGUGUCUGGCUCUCUGCAGCAGGUCUCUUGGCUGCACUCCCUGCACAGCUUGGAGCAUGAGCGCUCUUCUUGUUCAGGUGACCACAAGUCUUCUGCAAGUGCUGAAAAGCAGUUUGCUGCCUUUGCAUCACCAGCUGUGCAGACACAUUUAGUACCAGUGCUAGAUGGAUGGUGAGCAGCUGCCUUGUGCCGAGUGGUACCUGGAGGGGAGACUGAACAUGUGGCCUUGGUCAGGAGACAUGCCUGCAUUUCACCUCUUUUGCCUCAUUUUGAUGUGUCCAAAUGCCUCUUCUGUCCUGCCUUGUGUUGGAAGAGCCCCUUCUGGCCGUGCCCACCCCUUCUUCAUGGUGCUUUUGACACCGGCUCUGCCACACUGCUCUGGCUGAGGCAACAAGGAAGACUGCGACCUCACUUAUUUUAAAUAACCAGAAAUACUGGGCUGCUCUGAGAAUCCCAACCUCCGCGAGUAGUCCUUGUGCUUUCAACUGACCUUGGAAAAGAAUGCUUUAAUUAUACACAUGCUUCACUUAAAUCAGUAAUGAAUUGCAGUUCUGCAGGGCGGCUUGCUGGGACUGUCCCCAUAAAUAACGCUGUCGAGGCAUGCCUGGGUGGUGGUGAUAUGCUGAUUCAAGUUGCACGGGAGAAACCAACAGAAACAUCUCUGCAUCGUGACGAGACCCACAAUGACACGCGGUCUGGAUGAGGAAGCAUUCAAACGCGUUUCCUUUCUCAGCACGUGGGAUACAGGCUUGAGAAGAAGUGAGAACUGAGGUGCUGCCUAGAUUUCUGUCCUUCGAGGAGAUGGCAUGAAUUACUGGUAGGUAGAAGUGGUGUGGGGCCAGAGGUGGUGGUGUGGGGGGCAGCGAUGGGGGCUGCACUGUGGUGGGCAGCAGCUCACUGCUCUGGCAGGAAAUCUUGGUUCCAUGCUUGGCAAAGUUCAUCUGCUGGAAAGGCACCUGCACGUGGCUCAGGGAGCAGGCUGCUGCUACAGCACUGACUGGGGAGUAUUAAUUGUACACUGCUUGAUUUAGAACUUUUUGUAGGUGAGAAUAAGGUCCUAGCUCUACUAAUGUCUCUAUACCACCAUGUUGAAAGGAUGUAUUAGAAUCACCAAGGCUG